rnacentral:tRNA from 6 species
CGACACUAGCUCAGUUGGUAGAGCGCAACCUUGCCAAGGUUGAGGUCACGAGUUCGAACCUCGUGUGUCGCUCCA